rnacentral:rRNA from 1 species
GACGAACGCUGGCGGCGUGCUUAACACAUGCAAGUCGAACGGAAAGGCCCUGCUUUUGUGGGGUGCUCGAGUGGCGAACGGGUGAGUAACACGUGAGUAACCUGCCCUUGACUUUGGGAUAACUUCAGGAAACUGGGGCUAAUACCUGAUAGGAGCUCCUGCUGCAUGGUGGGGUUUGGAAAGUUUCGGCGGUUGGGGAUGGACUCGCGGCUUAUCAGCUUGUUGGUGGGGUAGUGGCUUACCAAGGCUUUGACGGGUAGCCGGCCUGAGAGGGUGACCGGCAACAUUGGGACUGAGAUACGGCCCAGACUCCUACGGGAGGCAGAAGGGGGGAAUAUUGCACAAUGGGCGGAAGCCUGAUGCAGCAACGCCGCGUGCGGGAUGACGGCCUUCGGGUUGUAAACCGCUUUCGCCUGUGACGAAGCGUGAGUGACGGUAAUGGGUAAAGAAGCACCGGCUAACUACGUG